rnacentral:rRNA from 1 species
CUAGCGGCAGGCCUAACACAUGCAAGUCGAGGGGUAACAUUGUGCUUGCACAGAUGACGACCGGCGCACGGGUGCGUAACGCGUAUAGAAUCUACCUUUUGCUACGGGAUAGCCCAGAGAAAUUUGGAUUAAUAUCGUAUAGUAUGCAUUAUCUUCAUGGGUUUUGUAUUAAAGGUUACGGCAAAAGAUGACUAUGCGUCCUAUUAGCUAGAUGGUGAGGUAACGGCUUACCAUGGCAACGAUAGGUAGGGGCCCUGAGAGGGGGAUCCCCCACACUGGUACUGAGACACGGACCAGACUCCUACGGGAGGCAGCAGUGAGGAAUAUUGGACAAUGGAGGCAACUCUGAUCCAGCCAUGCCGCGUGCAGGAUGACUGCCCUAUGGGUUGUAAACUGCUUUUAUACAGGAAGAAACCUCGCUACGUGUAGCGACUUGACGGUACUGUAAGAAUAAGGAUCGGCUAACUCCGUGCCAGCAGCCGCGGUAAUACGGAGGAUCCAAGCGUUAUCCGGAAUCAUUGGGUUUAAAGGGUCCGUAGGUGGAUAAUUAAGUCAGGGGUGAAAGUUUGCAGCUCAACUGUAAAAUUGCCUUUGAUACUGGUUAUCUUGAAUCAUUAUGAAGUGGUUAGAAUAUGUAGUGUAGCGGUGAAAUGCAUAGAUAUUACAUAGAAUACCAAUUGCGAAGGCAGAUCACUAAUAAUGUAUUGACACUGAUGGACGAAAGCGUGGGGAGCGAACAGGAUUAGAUACCCUGGUAGUCCACGCCGUAAACGAUGGAUACUAGCUGUUCGGAACUUGUUUCUGAGUGGCUAAGCGAAAGUGAUA